AAGUGCUUAAGGAGGAAGUUCCCUGCUUGUUUGUCCGGGGGCUAGAGAUGCUGUGGAGUCUGUUUGGUUUGAUGUCAUUGGAACCAAAGCAGGCGGUAUGGAGGGAGCUGUCGAUCCCGAGGAGGACAAGGUACCGUGCAGCUGCGACCAGCAUUGGUCAGUGGAUGACAGGCAGUGAGCCCCUCCAGCCGUAGUCCGACUCUCUGUGAUUCUGGGCAGGCCCUGUAAUUGCUAACAUGCCUCCCCUUUCUACUGCUCGUUAUACCCUCAAUUUGGCAGAUUUCCAGUCUUAUUACUCAGGAUUUUAUAUAUUUCUGCUGCCUUUUAACCUUAUUACAAUGUUAUGCCUUCUUUUAUGCCUUUUACUUCUACUAUCUCUCAGGUGUUGAGUCCCUCAUGCAUACUAUUUUUAGUCCUUUUAGUAUUAUUAGUCCUUAUGUUCUUAAUUUUAAUUUUAAAUUUCUAUAUGUAAUCCUUUUUUAAUCUAAUCUCACUUUUAACACGUAAUCACUCUUACAUUUUAACACUGACGUAGUAUUUUUAGUAUUUUUAUAUGUAUUAUUUUAUAUGCGGACAUUUCUUUUAUCUAAUCUUACUCUUACCAUGUAAU